AAACAUCUUACUGCCUUAGUUUUUCCUCGGCUAACUGCUCUGCUGUUGGCCAUCUCUUGGGAACUCCGUCCUGUGUGCAUGAUUGCAGCUGCCAUCGGAUGGGGCCCUUGCUUAGUCAGCCGACCUGACAAGCUUCUCGACAGAUAAUGACAUGGGGCACAGCAAGCAGCAGCCUGGCUCUAACAGGCUAGACAGUCGUUGGCAUCUCGGCUCUGGGGCGAUAUCUGGACAUAACUAGUCGAGCUGCGGUGAAUCGACUUCAGAGGCACCAAACCCCUGGUGGUGUCACAUUUGGUGACGCUUCACAAGCACCUCUUGUUCGCACGGCCUACCGGUGUCAUCUGAUUAGAAGCAACUGACGACCAAAGCUUCUUCAGGCCCAGCGCCUGUCCGUUGUUGAGCUGAAGCAUGGACGCCUAAAAACACCUCAGUAGUCUUCUAGACUCGCCAUGAAGUUCGCACUCCAUUUUUGGGGUCUUUUCUGUUGUCUGUAUGCACUAAGUAAGAAUAUCUAUGCAAGGCCCGAUACAGUGAGCGUUGGAGCUCUUUUCACAUUCAAUUCCACGAUAGGGAGAGCUGCCAAGAUUGCCAUUUCUGCUGCUGUCAAUGAGAUCAACACCGAUUCAAGCAUCCUUCCAGGCACAAACCUGGUUGUCGAGAUGCAAGAUUCCAAUUGCAGUGGCUUCGUUGGCAUUGUGCAAGCAUUGCAAUUCAUGGAGAAAGAUACAGUUGCAAUCAUCGGCCCACAAUCUUCUGUCAUCGCGCAUGUUAUUUCUCAUGUUGCAAAUGAACUUCAAGUGCCUAUGCUGUCCUUCGGUGCAACUGAUCCAACUCUCACGUCACUUCAGUUUCCUUUCUUGGUGAGGACAACCCGUAGUGAUCAUUUUCAAAUGGCUGCUGUUGCUGACUUGGUCGACUACUAUGGGUGGAAGCAAGUGACAGCUAUAUAUAUCGAUGAUGAUUAUGGAAGAAACGGCAUGGCCUCUUUAGGUGAUGAACUUGUCAAGAGGCGGGCUAAGAUCUCGUUUAAAGCUGCAGUUAGGCCAGGAGCAAAAAAGAGUGAAAUGGCUAGUGCGCUAGUCAGGGUUGCAUUGAUGGAAUCUCGAGUGGUAGUUCUGCAUGCAAAUCCUGACUCUGGGCUUGCACUUCUCUCGCUGGCACGCAAUCUCGGCAUGACAUCAAGCGGGUAUGUGUGGAUUGCAACAGAUUGGCUCAGUUCAUUCCUGGAUUCAUCGCCACGUCUCGACAUCGGAUUACUGAGCACAAUGCAGGGUUUUCUCACAUUACGCCAGCACACAGAAAAUACAAGAAGGAAGAGUAUGCUAGCUUCAAAAUGGAGUGCACUGGUGAAGAAAGAUACUGUUGACGACAAGUUCUUGAUUAAUUCGUAUGGCUUUUAUGCGUAUGAUUCUGUCUGGAUCCUUGCUUAUGCGCUGGACGCAUAUUUCAGUAGAGGUGGAAACAUUUCUUUCUCAAAUGACACCAAGCUACAUGAAGUUGGGGCAGGGGGUCUGCAAUUGAAAGCUAUGACUGUCUUUGAUGGGGGGAGGCUGUUACUAGAAAGAAUCCAGCAAGUGAAUUUCACGGGUGCAACUGGCCCUGUAAAAUUUGAUACAGAUGGUAAUCUUAUCCGUCCUGCGUACGACAUCGUUAACAUAGUAGGAUCUGGUCUGCGGACAGUUGGUUACUGGUCCAACUAUUCUGGCCUGUCCACCUCGUUGCCUGAGACUCUUUACAUGAAACCAGCAAAACGUGUUAGGGGAGAUCAGAAACUCCACACUGUGAUAUGGCCAGGUGAGACUACAGUAAGGCCACGUGGAUGGGUGUUUCCCAACAAUGGAAUUGAGCUGAAAAUUGGAGUUCCCAAUAGGGCAAGUUACCGUCAAUUUGUGUCAGUUGACAAUAACAGCGGAACGGUGCGUGGUUUCUGUAUUGAUGUGUUUGUUGCUGCAGCCAACUUGUUACAGUAUCCAGUUCCAUUUAAGUUUGUUCCGUUUGGGGAUGGUAGUCAGAAUCCAAGCUAUCCAGACCUUAUCAACAAUAUUCUAACGAAUGACUUCGAUGCUGUGGUAGGUGAUAUAGCUAUCGUCACAAAUCGGACAAGGGUUGUUGACUUCACUCAGCCAUACGUUGAGUCGGGGCUUGUGGUACUUACCUCUGUUAAGAAGCAAAGCUCGAGUGGAUGGGCCUUUUUGCAGCCAUUCACCAUCAAAAUGUGGUGCAUCACAGGGCUGUUCUUUCUUGUCAUAGGAACGGUGAUUUGGCUGCUUGAGCACAGAAUCAAUGAUGAGUUCCGCGGGCCUCCAGCGAAACAGGUUAUCACUGUAUUCUGGUUCAGUUUCUCAACUCUGUUCUUCGCGCACAGAGAGGACACGAGAAGCACCCUCGGCCGCUUCGUGAUCAUCAUAUGGCUCUUCGUGGUUCUGAUCAUCCAGUCCAGCUACACUGCCAGCUUGACCUCCAUACUCACCGUGCAGCAGCUCAUAUCUCCAAUCACAGGGAUCGAUAGCUUGGUCGCCAGCGACGAGCCCAUCGGGUUUCAAGUCGGCUCCUUUGCGGAAAGUUACCUCGUGAACGAGCUCGGUGUCUCGAGACACAGGCUUAAAUCCCUCGGUACUCCGGACGAGUAUAAGCAAGCGCUUGAGCUUGGCCCUGCCAAUGGAGGCGUCGCUGGCAUCGUUGACGAGCGUCCCUAUGUUGAGAUCUUCUUGCUCCUGCAUCCCAAAUUCGCAGUCGUGGGCUCGGAGUUCACCAAAAGUGGCUGGGGCUUCGCGUUCCCGAGGGACUCGCCGCUGGCGGUGGACCUGUCGACGUCCAUCCUGGAGCUGUCGGAGAACGGCGACCUCCAGCGGAUCCACGACAAGUGGCUGGCGAACAACGUGGCGGGGUCCAUGUCGCAGAACAACGAGCUGGAGUCGGACCGGCUGCAGGUGUACAGCUUCUCAGGGCUGUUCCUCAUCUGUGGCGUGGCGUGCCUCAUCGCCCUCGCCAUACACGCCGGCAUCCUCUUCCACAAGUACUGUGAGCAACGGCGGCAGGUGUCGGCCGACGGCAGCUCCCGCUCCAGCCGCAGCAGUUUCCGCGCGUUCCUGUCGUUCGCCGACCGACGGGAGAUGGACGCCCAUAUAGCGUCCAAGGACAAGGCGGCCGGAGACCACUCCAUUAGCGCGGCGUCGAGUAGCAGCGUCAGCACUGCCACGUCGUGCUAGAGGGAGGGGCGGACGGACGGCUGCCGGUUAGCUUUCAACGUAGCAAGUGCGACAUAUAGCAGUAACCCCCCAACGUAAGUACUGUACUACUUAAUUAGCGCUGUGCUGCAAAUGUUCUCUCCUCGUGCUGCAGAAUUGUAGAGAUGCGUAAGCUGUUGUGCACAUGGAGCAACUUCAGUACACGUUCCCGAGAAACUUGCUCUUGUAACUUCUGCUGCGUCCUGGCGCUUGCUACGUCGCGCUGAUAUAGCUAUUUGCUUUUGGUUUGUGUCUUG
rnacentral:rRNA from 1 species